rfam:Pantoea sp. PSNIH1, complete genome.
GCCCUUUCAAGAGCUAAGCCAUUGCGAGUGCCGGAGAUAAGCGCCGGGUAGGGCAUUACCC